GACGAACGCUGGCGGCGUGCUUAACACAUGCAAGUCGAACGAAGAGCGAUGGAAGCUUGCUUCUAUCAAUCUUAGUGGCGAACGGGUGAGUAACGCGUAAUCAACCUGCCCUUCAGAGGGGGACAACAGUUGGAAACGACUGCUAAUACCGCAUACGAUCUAAUCUCGGCAUCGAGGAUAGAUGAAAGGUGGCCUCUACAUGUAAGCUAUCACUGAAGGAGGGGAUUGCGUCUGAUUAGCUAGGUGGAGGGGGAACGGCCCACCAAGGCGAUGAUCAGUAGCCGGUCUGAGAGGAUGAACGGCCACAUUGGGACUGAGACACGGCCCAGACUCCUACGGGAGGCAGCAGUGGGGAAUCUUCCGCAAUGGACGAAAGUCUGACGGAGCAACGCCGCGUGAGUGAUGACGGCCUUCGGGUUGUAAAGCUCUGUUAAUCGGGACGAAAGGCCUUCUUGCGAAUAGUGAGAAGGAUUGACGGUACCGGAAUAGAAAGCCACGGCUAACUACGUG
rnacentral:rRNA from 1 species